UGAGGAAUAUUGGUCAAUGGACGCAAGUCUGAACCAGCCAAGCAGCGUGCAGGAUGACGGCCCUAUGGGUUGUAAACUGCUUUUAUAUGGGGAUAAAGUGGGGAACGUGUUCCCUUUUGCAGGUACCAUAUGAAUAAGGACCGGCUAAUUCCGUGCCAGCAGCCGCGGUAAUACGGAAGGUUCGGGCGUUAUCCGGAUUUAUUGGGUUUAAAGGGAGCGUAGGCCGUUUGGUAAGCGUGUUGUGAAAUGUAGGAGCUCAACUUCUAGAUUGCAGCGCGAACUGUCAGGCUUGAGUACGCACAACGUAGGCGGAAUUCAUGGUGUAGCGGUGAAAUGCUUAGAUAUCAUAAAGAACACCGAUUGCGAAGGCAGCUUACGGGAGCGCAACUGACGCUGAAGCUCGAAAGUGCGGGUAUCGAACAGG
rnacentral:rRNA from 1 species